AUGUCUUCUAAUCUGUUCAUUGCCUUUGUAGUGCUCCCCAUUCUUGGCUUCCUUGGCGUUUGCAUUGAAGCUCAAGCACCAACUUACCGGUAUCAUGUCUGUUCAAAGACAACCAUUUUCACUCCCAACAGCUCCUACCAGUCUAAUCUCAAUCUCCUCCUUUCUUCUCUCACAUCCAACGCCACACGAGAUAUUGGAUUCUACUACACUAGAGCUGGCGUGCUAGACUCCACCACAGAAGUAGUUUACGGUUCUUUCCUAUGCCGUGGAGAUCUCACCCCUGAGAUGUGCCAAGGAUGUGUUGCUACUAUAGCCAUAGAUGGUGUCCCAAGGUUCUGUCCCUUUGGAAAAAUUGUGAUAAUAUGGUACGACGAGUGCAUGUUGCACUACACAAACCAGUCCUUCUUGAACAGAAUGGACGAAGAGCCUCGAUUUUUCAAGGGGAACAGUCGGAAUAUCUCUGACCCUACCCGCUUUACUCAGAAACAAUCAAUGGUUUGGUGGCUCUGGCUUCAAAUGCACCCUCGGGUGCUAAAAAGUAUGCGAAGAAAGAAGAAAAUUUCAGAGUUUCAGAAGUUGUACAGCCUUGUGCAGUGCACACCAGACCUAUCAAGCACAAGUUGUGAUACAUGUCUUCGAAGAGCUAUUGCGCAACUUUCAGGUUGUUGUACCGGAAAGCAAGGUGUUAGAGUUUUAUAUCCUAGUUGUAAUGUUCGAUAUGAAAUUUAUCCAUUUUAUAGACUUCAAGCUGCCACACCUCCACCAGCGCCAUCACCACCAUCACUGCUUCUACCUCCCCCUCCUCCUGGUACAGUAACGAGACCUGAUCAAGGAAAUGACCAAAUCUCAUCCUUAACCAUAGUGGCCAUUGUUGUUCCAAUUGCCAUAGUUCUUUUCUUAGUGGGCUGUUUUUUCUUAAAAAGAAAGACAAGGAAGAAGUAUGAUGCUGUACAAGAGCAAAAUGGUAACAUGCAUGAAAUUACUACUUUAGAGUCUUUGCAGUUUGACUUGGCUACCAUAGAAGCAGCCACAAACCGGUUCUCUGUUAAUAACAAGUUAGGCGGAGGUGGCUUUGGAGAGGUCUACAAGGGCACACUACGUAAUGGGCAAGAGAUAGCUGUGAAGAGGCUAUCUAAAAGCUCCGGGCAAGGUCACAUGGAGUUUAAGAAUGAGGUUGUUUUGGUGGCCAAGCUUGAGCACAGAAACCUAGUGAGGCUGCUGGGGUUUUGCUCUGAAGGAGAAGAAAAGAUGCUUGUUUAUGAACUUGUGAAGAACAAAAGCCUUGACCACUUCUUAUUCGACUCGGACAAUCGAGGCAAGCUAGAUUGGUCAAGCAGAUACAAGAUUAUCAGUGGGAUUGCUAGAGGGAUUCUCUAUCUCCAUCAAGAUUCUAGACUUAAAAUCAUACAUCGCGAUCUCAAAGCAAGCAACAUAUUGCUAGAUGGGGAAAUGAACCCCAAAAUAGCAGAUUUUGGCAUGGCAAGAAUAUUUGGAGGUGAUCAAACUCAAGAAAAUACCAGAAGGAUUGUUGGAACUUAUGGUUACAUGCCUCCAGAGUACAGAGUACGUAAUGCACGGACAGUUCUCGGUGAAAUCUGAUGUGUACAGUCUUGGUGUCUUGAUCUUAGAGAUUGUAACCAGCGAGAAGAACACUAGCUUUCAAUCCGAACGUGGCGAAUACCUCUUGACCUAUGCUUGGAACCAUUGGAGGGAUGGGACGCCAGAAGAGUUGCUGGAUCGAAAUCUAAGACGUUCUUAUUCAAGAAAUGAAGUAAUCAGAUGUAUCCAUAUUGCUUUACUGUGUGUCCAAGAAGAUCCAGAGAAGAGACCUACAAUGCAAACCGUAGUUCUCAUGCUAAGCAGUUACUCGGUAACUAUGCCAUUGCCUCAAAAGCCAGCAUUUUUCCUACAUAGUACAGAAGAAAUGAGGAUGCCAUCAUUAACAUCUCAACCAUUAAACCAACACUCUAGCAAUUCAGCUUGUUCAGUUAAUGAAGCAUCAAAUUCUGAAUUAAUGUCUUCUAAUCUGUUCAUUGCCUUUGUAGUGCUCCCCAUUCUUGGCUUCCUUGGCGUUUGCAUUGAAGCUCAAGCACCAACUUACCGGUCUCAUUUCUGUUUAAACACAACCAGUUUCACUCCCAACAGCUCCUACCAGUCUAAUCUCAAUCUCCUCCUUUCUUCUCUCACAUCCAACGCCACACGAGAUAUUGGAUUCUACUACACUAGAGCUGGCGUGCUAAACUCCACCACAGAAGUAGUUUACGGUUCUUUCCUAUGCCGUGGAGAUCUCACCCCUGAGUUGUGCCAAGAAUGUGUUGCUACUAUAGCCAAAGAUGGUGUCCAAACGUUCUGUCCCUUGGGAAAGAUUGCGAUAAUAUGGUACGACGAGUGCAUGCUGCGCUACACAAACCAGUCCUUCUUGAACAGAAUGGACGAAGCUCCUCGAGUUUCCAUGUGGAACAUUGGGAAUAUCUCUGACCCUACCCGCUUUAUGCAGCUGCUUGGAGAAACAGUCAAUGGUUUGGUGGAUCUGGCCUCAAAUGCACCGUCCGGUGCUAAAAAGUAUGCGACGAAAGAAGCAGAUUUCACAGGGUUUCAGAAGUUGUACAGCCUUGUGCAGUGCACACCGGACCUAUCAAGCACAAGUUGUGAAACAUGUCUUCGAGGAGCUGUGGCGCAACUUCCAGGUUGUUGUAAUGGAAAGCAAGGUGGUAACGUUUUAUAUCCUAGUUGUAAUGUCCGAUAUGAAGUUUAUCCAUUUUAUACAACUGAAGCAGCCACACCUUCACCACCGCCACGGCCUCUGAUUCUUCCUCCCCCACCUCCAGGUUCAUUACAUAAACCUUGAUAUUGAAUCUAUGCAGGAAAUGACCAAAUCUCAUCCUUAAUCAUAGUGGCCAUUGUUGUUCCAAUUGCCAUAGUGCUUUUCUUGGUAGGCUGCUUUUUGCUAAGAAGAAAGACAAGAAAAGAGUAUGAUGCUUUGCAAGGACAAAAUGGGGGCAGUGAAAUUAGUGAAAUUACUACUGUGGAGUCAUUGCAGUUUGAUUUUGCUACAAUUGAAGCAGCCACAAACCAGUUCUCUGUUAGUAACAGAUUAGGGGAAGGUGGCUUUGGAGAGGUUUACAAGGGAACACUUCCUAAUGGACAAGAAGUAGCAGUGAAGAGGUUAUCUAGAAGCUCCGGGCAAGGUGUCAAGGAGUUUAAGAAUGAGGUAGUUUUGGUGGCCAAACUUCAGCACAGAAAUUUAGUGAGGCUACUGGGAUUUUGCUCUGAAGGAGAAGAAAAGAUACUUAUCUAUGAAUUUGUGCAGAACAAAAGCCUUGACCACUUUUUAUUCGACUCAGACAUUCAAGUGAAGUUGGAUUGGUCAACCAGAUACAAGAUUAUAGGCGGGAUUGCUAGAGGGAUUCUCUAUCUCCAUCAAGAUUCUCGGCUUAAAAUCAUACAUCGCGAUCUCAAAGCAAGCAACAUAUUGUUAGAUGGAGAAAUGAACCCAAAAGUAUCAGAUUUUGGGAUGGCAAGAAUAUUUGGAGUUGAUCAAACUCAAGGAUGCACUAGAAUGAUUGUCGGAACUUAUGGUUAUAUGUCUCCAGAGUAUGCAAUGCAUGGACAGUUCUCAGUGAAGUCUGAUGUGUAUAGUCUUGGUGUCUUAAUCUUAGAGAUUGUAACAGGCAAGAAAAACACUAGUUUCUAUCAAUCAGACCGUGGUGAAGAUCUCUUGACCUAUGCUUGGAAACAUUGGAGGGAUGGGACGCCUGAAGAAUUGUUGGAUUCAAGUCUGAGAGGUUCUUAUGCAAGAAAUGAAGUAACCAGAUGUAUCCAUAUUGGUUUACUGUGUGUUCAGGAAGAUCCAGAGGAGAGACCUACAAUGCAAACCAUAGUUCUCAUGCUAAGCAGUUACUCUAUCAGUAUGCCAUUGCCUGAAAAGCCAGCGUUUUUCCUGCAUAGUAAAGGAGAUUUGAACAUGCCAUCAGUAGCCACGGGAGCAUCAGAUAAACCCACUAGCAGCUCAGUCUCAUAUUCUGUUAAUGAAGUUUCAAUUACUGAAUUAUUCCCUCGAUAA